rnacentral:misc_RNA from 1 species
CAAACUAUUUUUAAAAUAUUUAUAAAGAGGUCCUCAAAAUGAUGCACUAUCGCAAGGCCGAGAAUGUGGAGCAGGAGCUGAGCAAGAGCGAUCUGCCAUUCGAGGACUGCAUGCCAAAGUCCCAAAAGGAUUUUUUGUGGAUGCACGUGAAAGGCGGCACCAAAGUGAGCAAUGUGAUUGAGUUUGCUCAGGCAGCGCUAAACAAGGGCGAACACAGAUGCGUGGUGUGGAGCGGAUCCGGCGGCGGAGUGGUGAAGACCAUAUCAUGUGCCGAGGUCCUCAAACGGAGCCACCCUGUCUACCAGGUGACGCGCAUGGCGUACACCAGUAUACUACAUAAAGCGUGGAGGAGCACUGGAAGCCACAGAUGGAAGGCCUCGAGGAGAUUAUAGUCACCCGCCAAAUACCCACGCUGCACAUUCUCAUGAGUCUGGACCAGCUGCCGGAUAGUAUAGACGGUUUACAAAAGCCAAAUAGACCCACUGAUUUCUGGGAGGGCGGAGGAACACAGCCACAGCCACGUCCACAUCCACGUACCCAGGCCCCCCAU